rnacentral:rRNA from 1 species
UACAGAGACCACAAGCGUUAUCCGGAUUUAUUGGGCGUAAAGAGUUCGUAGGCGGUUUUGUAAGUCAUCUGUUAAAUCAUCAGGCUUAACCUGGUGGCUGCAGGUGAUACUGCAAGGCUAGAGUAUGGGAGAGGCAAGCGGAAUGCCCGGUGUAGCGGUAAAAUGCGUUAAUAUCGGGUAGAACACCAAAGGCGAAGGCAGCUUGCUGGAACAUUACUGACGCUCAAGAACGAAAGCGUGAGGAGCGAAAGGG